AUAAGCCGUGAAUUCAGUCGGCGAAUGCUCACGGAUGUGAUAGGUUGGGCUGGUCGCUGGUUCCGGAAAGAUCAUAGGGGAUCAACCGCAGCCGCAGCUAUCUUGGAAGUGAAUCAGUCUCAGACACACGGCACCGAGUGGAUCCUCUGGUCCAAAGUACGAAGACGAUCCUCAGCGUGAACGAUUGGUUGAUAGAAUACGUUGCCCUGGAUGGCCUUAUUCAGCGUUAUUUGAUGUUGGGAAAAAAAGGUGAUGAAUACUUUUUUAACAGAUUACAUGGUCAACAAAGUUGGUGUCUAUCGGAAUAGUCCAUGGCUGACGAAAAUUCAGUGUGUUCAAUUGAAAUGUUGCUGUUACGUCGUAGUGUUUGGUUAGCACUUCGACUUCAUGCAUAAGUAGUGACUGAGCUGAUGACAGGCAAAUUGAAUGUAAUCCGUUGAUCAUGUCUAGGUUAUAAGUUCAGUAGAAACGUUACCGAGACAUAACAAAACGGUCUGCUAAUAUAAUCACAAUUGAAGUGAUUACUACUCCUGUAAAAGAAAGUAGCAGAGAUUUGUCGUCUUAUUGUAUAAAAUAUUAGGGCUUGUUUCUGACGAGAUUCAGUGAUCCAAAAUAUGCACAUGGUAGGAUCAAGUCCUCUCCUGGUUUUCUUUACCUAUGUAGGACUGAAAUAUUAAAUUUAAACAU